AUAGCACAGAUCACGGAAAGGCC
rnacentral:siRNA from 1 species